rnacentral:rRNA from 1 species
CUACGGGCCGCAGCAGUGGGGAAUAUUGCACAAUGGGCGCAAGCCUGAUGCAGCCAUGCCGCGUGUAUGAAGAAGGCCUUCGGGUCGUAAAGUACUUUCAGCGGGGAGGAAGGGAGUAAAGUUAAUACCUUUGCUCAUUGACGUUACCCGCAGAAGAAGCACCGGCUAACUCCGUGCCAGCAGCCGCGGUAAUACGGAGGGUGCAAGCGUUAAUCGGAAUUACUGGGCGUAAAGCGCACGCAGGCGGUUUGUUAAGUCAGAUGCGAAAUCCCCGGGCUCAACCUGGGAACUGCAUCUGAUACUGGCAAGCUUGCGUCUCGUAGAGGGGGGUAGAAUUCCAGGUGUAGCGGUGAAAUGCGUAGAGAUCUGGAGGAAUACCGGUGGCGAAGGCGGCCCCCUGGACGAAGACUGACGCUCAGGUGCGAAAGCGUGGGGAGCAAACAGGAUUAGAUACCCCGGUAGUC